GUCAGUUUGGGGGGAAAAAGCCCGCAGAAACAGGAGAGAAUUGAAGCAAUCCAUUUCUUUUGAUGAUAAGGGUGAGAUGGCACAAAUGUCAUCCAAAUUGCUGAGCGUAUCAGUAUUGCCUGUGUUACGCUCACAGGUCAAACGCAGUGUGAAGUACCCAACUGCCAGGGCAUCUGGGCUGCGUCCGAAAGACUUGCUGCUCUCUGCUUUCUUAGAGCUAAAAGAAAAUUCAGAAAUCAAAAUCUUAGCAAACGUCUGGCAUCCUUUUUAAACUCUUCUCAUGAGAAAGGGGAGUCUCCAGUAACCUGAUGGAGUGAGCGAGAUUGUAUUUCUGGAGGAUGAGCAGAGCAGCAAAGAUAAAAGAUGGAUACCUUUGACUGAUGUCUUGCUGACUGAUAUUCGUGAAACAAACUCUGUUCAGCAAAUGUUGGUAGGUGGAUUUGGCUUUUUAAACCCAAAUGAGAGAACUGGUGAGUACACAGAUGCCUGUUCAUCCUCACUGUGUCCCUUGCCAGCAUUUAUAAGUAUUACUUAAUUGGAGCUCUAAUGCUGCUUUCUGCUCCAGCCAAGGCUGUGCUAACCAGCUUGUUGUCUCUUCCAGCAAGGUAUCAAGUACAUUUCAGUUUCACAGGCUUCAAAAGCUUUUCACAAAAUUGACAAAAAACCCUCCCCAAACCAAAGAUGAUUAAAUGCAGUCACUCUAGGUGUGGGUGAAGCCAACUGUGCAACAACAGAGGGCAACACCCCAGUGCAAUGGUGCAGUAAGUGGAGAAGGGGAAAAGAUGCUGUGUACAAGGGGAGCUGCAGGAAGAACAAAGGGAGGAGGAUUGUCUUUUCCCAAACAUCUGGAACGUGGACUGUUUGGAACAUUCAGAGAUUGUUUCCAAUCUGAUGGUGUUCACAUCUGUCCUACACAAUCAAACUCCCAUGCAGAGCAGGAGUCACCCGAGUGACAAUUGCCUUCUUCUCAAAUACAUCCAGACACCAUUUGCAGGCCUCCUGUCCAAGUACUAGUCUUGACCUUUUGUUGGUGAGGUUUGACACAAAAGGAGCUCAUCCUGUCAGGACUGAGACAUAACCAGUGUGUGGAAGAGGCUACAGAAAAUAAGAUAUGCAGAACAGUGUGGAAUAGAUAUGCACAGCUGAAGAUGUGAAGGAUGAAGGAGUCCAUUAUGAGCACAAUGGAAGAGCAGCCACUGCCCAGCUGACAGGCGGCUAUUAGAAGGCAAACUUUCACUAUCAGCCCAGCAAAAGUUCCUUUAUCACUUGGAGUGAAUUCACUGCAGCUCCCAUCAGCCUUAAAACAAUUUCAGAUGGGUUUUAAAGCUAUUUAUAUCGUGGAGGGGAAAGUCCUGUUGUGUAGCAAACUCAAAAAGUAGUGUGUGCAACCUGGAUGUGAAAAGUUGCAGCAUAUUUGAAGUUUCCCCUGUCAGCCUGUGAGUUGCUUCCCUUUUUUUCCUUGCAAGGACAGACUGUUGUCCUAUUCCCUCCAGCUCAUCAUCCUCAGAGAAGAUGCUUAUCUCUCCUGAAGAGAUUUCAUGCAUUCUAUGAAGAUUUUCAAAAAUUUGAUGGAACUGUCAGCUGAAUACCAACAUGGACACCUGUCCUACAUGGGUUUCACUGUGAACACAUCUCUACAGUUAAGAUUGUCUACCCCUGUCCUAGGCUUGUUUGCCUCUAGGCUCUUCAGAGCCCUUCUGAGUUGCUUUUCUGUCUCUUCUGUUUGUAAAAUGUUUAACAUCUGUGAGCACUUACAGGAAAGUUGCAAGUUUCAUGCCAUAUUUGAAAGUUCCUGGUUUGUUUGGUCUCUGAUUUAGGUAGUGGUUCCCAAGAAUAAAUCUUUAGCUGUAGCUAUGAGGAAGAGGGACUGUUACUGUCUCUGUAGUGAAAUGACAUUUGUUGACAGGAAGGACUGACCUUCCAGGAGAAGAUGUUACUGAGGAAAGAGAGGAAGCCAAGUGUCUUCUCUUUGGAGUACAUGGAUGUUCCCCUUCUGAGUGCACUUGUGACCCUCACAACUGUCUCCCCUACUGUUUGCUCUGUCUGCUUCUUUCUCUUUCUUCUUUUCCUCUCUCCCCAACCACACCCACUAUUUAACCAUUUAGAUAUAAAAAUAAAAAAUAAGAAAACCACCCAACCCACUAGACAGAGGGUUUGCUAAAGAAGGGUAAUUUUAAAAGCAAGUCUUUGAGGUCAGUGUAUAAUUGUACCAUUGAGACUAUGUGAUCUGAGACAAAAAUAAUCCACUGAGUAUCUGGUCAAGAAGGAGAGUGCAGUGAGGGAAGCGUGACUUACAUGCAAUUGACCAGGCAGCAAAAGACCAGGCAAAACUACUUGCUGGCACCAGAAUUAAUAUUUGUGUAGAAUACUGCAAAAUAUUCUGUCUGUGAUGGGAUCAUUACAGCUGUUGCUCAGGUCACAGCCUCCCUUGGUAAGUGUCAGGAAGCACUGGGUACUUCCUGGAAAUGUAAUGGUCUUCCACAGAAAUAAAAAUCUGAUGUGAAGUGUAUUUAUAUAUUAACUUGCUCAUGAGGAACAUUUCUGGUUUGAUGUGGAGUUUAGGGUGCUGAGGCUUUUUAACAAUUCUCCAUUUUCAAACCCCUGUUUCAGUGCUUUAUGAAAACCUGAAUUCUGCAAAGGAUUCACAGGACUGUAAGCCAUGCUCUCGGAAUAAAGAAGGAUGUUUUCACUCCUAUAAA